AUUCAUCCAACGAGUCCCAAAUAAGACGAAAGACGCGUCCUGGAU
rnacentral:hammerhead_ribozyme from 1 species